CUCUCGCUCCAACUUACUCUUACUUUUUUUUGAAUAAAUUUUGAGCUGUGUUACUUUUGAGAAUAAAUAUAGAAAGUGCUCAAAUAGCUUUAUUCAAACAGAAAUAGAGAUAGCUUAUUAAAGCUUUAUUGAACAAGAAAGUAAAGAAGUGAGAAGAGAUUUAGGUUGCCACCAAGAUCAAAAUGAUUCUGAAAUGAUAUUCAUAAAGAUAUGGUUUUGGCUGCACAAACCGCAGCCUUAGUUACCGAGAUAGAAAGACAGAACUCAUAUAUAUAUGCAUUAGGAAAGAACCCUAAACAUAUAGACUAUGACAUACUAUUGGGCUGCUUAAUAUUGGUUUGGGCUUCACUUCAAUACUCCCCCGCAAACUUGGCAGCGGGUGAGUACCAAGCUGACAAGUUUGAAUGCACCUGAAGAUGGCUUUAAAGGAGACAUGACGAGUUGAAGUAGGAUGCUUGUAGUGUAGGCAAAUGGCUCUUCUUCUUCAUGGAAAACAAACUAAGUGUGAGAUCUAUUCAGGCCUAUACUUGGAGAGUAUCACAUGGCUUCACUCAGAAGUUUCUUUUGAACUUGGAGAGCUUAGUUGAUCUCACUCAGAGCGAACAGCUUGUGUGCUUUAACAAAACCAGACUUGCUGCCAUAAACCCAUUGUUAUAACCAACCGCAGCCUACUCAUUUAACUUCAGGUUCCAGACCUAUGAAUCUAAACCAGCCAGCAAGACAAUCCAAGACACAACAAUUUUCCAUCCUCUGUCGCAAAUGAGAGAAACAUAGAUGAUACCGUGGAUAAUGGUGUGGAAGCUGAAUCUUCAAGAAGAUGAAGUCCUCUUUCUUUCUGGCCCCUUAUGAGGUCGUCCCAGCAAAGCACCUUGGAGUAUCGCAUCUACUGAAGAUCAAUGUUGAAGAGGAGACAUAAAACUUCUGCCUUUGUGAGAAGAGAAACCAAGUCUCAGUUUUUUUUUUUUUCGGUGAGGGAAGACGCUGGCAAGAUGCUCCGCGACGGUCUUCUUCUGGUCGGCUGUUACUCCUGGAGCCCGCCAAUGCUUGAGAAGAAUGAAGACACGAGCACUUGAGAAAGAAGAAACUUUCUUCUUGUCUGGAUCUGUUUGUCGGAAGCUUAAAGCUGUCUGGGUGAGUAUUGUCGGUUUGACAGAAGCAUAAAUCAAGGUGACACUUUUUUUUUUUUUUUUUUGAGUCCACAGAUCGACUGCAGCUCUGAUACCAUGAGGGUAA